UACGAAGGGGGCUAGCGUUGCUCGGAAUCACUGGGCGUAAAGGGUGCGUAGGCGGGUCUUUAAGUCAGGGGUGAAAUCCUGGAGCUCAACUCCAGAACUGCCUUUGAUACUGAGGAUCUUGAGUUCGGGAGAGGUGAGUGGAACUGCGAGUGUAGAGGUGAAAUUCGUAGAUAUUCGCAAGAACACCAGUGGCGAAGGCAGCUCGCUGGGACGGUACUGACGCUGAGACGCGAAAGCGUGGGGAGCAAACAGG
rnacentral:rRNA from 1 species